ACAAAAAAUCAUACCCGCGUUCACUUUCUGCGUCUACAGCGUCAAUCAAUUUCUCCAAAAUUAAUCCCAAACCUUCAUAGAUUCAAAACUUACGCUACUUAACCCCAAAAAUUAACCUCAAAAUCUCAGUGAGGCUGCUUCUUCUUCUCCAACGCCCGAGAAUAGAGGCCAGAGAUAGAGUCACUGUCACGGAGAGAGGCAGAGAGCCGCCGGAGAGUAGAGCCUCUCCUCCUCUUCUUCUCCAUCUUCUCCCCCGCCGAGCCUGCCGCUACGCCAUCCUCUUCAUCCGGUCGCCAUCGCUACGAGCCCGUCACCGUCGCCAUCGCAGCUCCUUCUACUCCAGUACAAAAUGCCCAGAAGGCCAAGAACACUUUGCCAGUGGCCCAGAACUUUGCCAUUUACAUUCUUCCCUUUUGCUUGUGCUCUAGCUCGAAUGGCCUCUCCUUCUAUGCCCAAACGGCAACAGCAACACUCCAAAUUUGAUGAAAAGCCUACACCUGUUAGUAAAAGUUCCUUUCAUUGAAAAAAAUAAUUAUAAAUUGUGAUCAAGAAUGUAAAUGUAUGUUUUGAAGUGCCUUAUAUUUGUAAGUGAGCUGAUGUUUUGUAUUGUGUAUUCCUAUUUCUAACCCAAUUCUUAUAGUUAAGUUCUCAUUAAAGGAGAAAGCCAAGGAUGAGGAGUUUGAAGAUGAAUUUUUCCACAAGGUAUUGAAGAAAAGAAGAACCAACAUGAAAGACACAGUGGAAACGAAAAGAUAAGUUUUUAGAUACUUGAACAUGACAAAAUUAUUAUUAUGCACCUUGUCUUUAAACAUGUAUCAUUUUUUGCAUUUGAUUACUGAUUAUUUUCCAUCAUACAGUUGUGCUCAUCAUCCUUCUGUUUUCCAUUGCGAGCUCAGCAGCUUGCACCUCCCGAG